rnacentral:misc_RNA from 1 species
GGAUUGAGAUUCAGUGAAUCAUCGAAUCUUUGAACGCACCUUGCGCUCCCUGGUAUUCCGGGGAGCACGCCUGUUCGAGUGUCGUGAAAUUCUCAGGCUGUGAUGCUUUUUCUUGUUAAAAAUCGUCUCAGCUUGGUGUUGGGCUCUGCCGUGCCCUUCAUUGGAACGGCUGGCCUUAAAAACAUUAGCUUGACCCAUGUGUGGCAUUGGUUCUACUCAGCGUGAUAAUGAUCUGACCGCUGAGGACAUCUUUUGGGGUGGCCAAUUCUCAUUUGGGUUGCUUCUAAUCUGGCUUUACGGAUCUUUGGAUCUGUUCCACUUUCAAUUUUGACCUCGAAUCAGGUGGGGACU